CAACCUGCCCCAGACACCGGGAUAACCAUCCGAAAGGAUGGCUAAUACCGGAUACGACCACUUUGGGCAUCCAACGGUGGUGGAAAGGAUUCUGGUCUGGGAUGGGCCCGCGGCCUAUCAGGCUUGUUGGUGGGGUAAUGGCCUACCAAGGCGACGACGGGUAGCCGGCCUGAGAGGGCGACCGGCCACACUGGGACUGAGACACGGCCCAGACUCCUACGGGAGGCAGCAGUGGGGAAUAUUGCGCAAUGGGCGAAAGCCUGACGCAGCGACGCCGCGUGAGGGACGAAGGUCUUCGGAUUGUAAACCUCUUUCAGCAGGGACGAAGCGAAAGUGACUGUACCUGCAGAAGAAGCACCGGCUAACUACGUG
rnacentral:rRNA from 1 species